rnacentral:rRNA from 1 species
UACGGAGGGUGCAAGCGUUAUCCGGAUUCACUGGGUUUAAAGGGUGCGUAGGUGGGCAGGUAAGUCAGUGGUGAAAUCCCCGAGCUUAACUUGGGAACUGCCAUUGAUACUAUUUGUCUUGAAUACUGUGGAGGUUAGCGGAAUAUGUCAUGUAGCGGUGAAAUGCUUAGAUAUGUGGAGGAACACCGAUGGCGAAGGCAGCCUCCUGGGCCAACACUGACGCUCAUGCACGAAAGCGUGGGGAGCAAACAGG